UCUGCUGCUAUCAGCUCCCGGUCCCCAUCUCUAACCUAAGAAACUAGCUCCAUGAAAAUGGAGAAAUCAAUAACCCUAGAUGCUAUUUCAACCAAACUAAUAAACCCCUUCUCUUUGUUCUUCUUCUGAAAUCCCUCAACUCACUAUUCGAGUUGUAGAUCUCAAAUCUUCUGGGAAUAGAUUCAAUCCAUGUUUUUUUUUUCAUUUUUAGGGGUUUUAUCAAAAUCUCUAACUAGAUCUAAAAAUAAUAAUCAUCUCAUGAAUGAUUACUACUAAAUCUGUUGGUUUUAGGGUUUUUAGAACUUGAGAAUCUUUAGAUGUUCUUUGAAGAUUUAGAUUGGUUGAAGUCGUCUUCAACCUGCGAAGUAAAAAUCAAUACCCUCACACCAAGAAUCGAUUUCUAUGAUGCCAUGGCAAGAAACUGAAAGUGGAUUUCUGAUAGGAGCUGUUGCUGGAUAAAUUUUAGGAUAUUUUAUAUUUGAUUCAGUCAUAUGUAUUGCUAGCCUUCUAAGUGGAAGACUAGUGAGGGAAAGAGUUGCUUCAGCCAUAUGUAUUUGCCUUACAAAUUAAGGACUCAUAUGUUAGUGUGGUUCUGGAUAUUGGUGUUGCUGAACAUGUUGCUCAACAUUUGCUCUAUAUUUUUCUUAUAAAGAUGCUAGGAGUUGAACAUCCAGGUGCUAAGGGUUUAAGCAGGUUGUUCUGCUUAUAAGUGAUGUGGCUGAAGCUCUCACGAAGAUGAGUGGAACUGGUGGCCACACCUUGGGCUGUUUUCACAAUCAGUUUUCUCAUCCUUUUUACUGUGGACAUUAAAUUUUCUGAUUGAUAUUUCUUAGUGGUGAAUAUAACCAAGAGUCUUGGUGAAUGCAUCACAACGACAUGAUAUUUGUAUUUUGUAAUAUCUUCAGACAUUUUAGGUUUGUAUUUACUACAUGUUGUUCAAACUUCACAGGGAAGGUGCCACAAAGAAUCCUCUGGAUUUGAGGGACCCUGGACAACCAACCCCCUAGUGUUUGAUAACUCUUCCUUCAAGGAGCUUCUAAAUGGGGAGAAGGAAGGCUUAAUCCAACUCCGAACUGAUAAGACACUCUUGGCUGAUCCCUUUCUCCGUCCCUUGUUGAAAAAUAUGCAGAGUGUUUAGGACGAUAAUGCCAUCUUUGCUGACUAAGCUGAUGCUUACCUGAAGCUAUCUAAAUUAGGAUAGCAUCAAGAAGCAUACAAGGAGAGCUGCAAUGAAAACUGCAAACGAGUUCUUAUUACGUGACAGGGUGGAAGGGAGACGGAGAUCCAGGCUAUUCAUCUCUGUCUCUUUCUGUUAGCUUAUCUGCCCUGUAUCAGUAAGGUGCCAAUACUUAACCUUAAGGUUUGGCAUUACAAGGUUUGGUUCUGUCAUCUCACAAGGUUCAGCUUCAUGGCUUUUCCAGAGGAGAAGAUUUGCUUCUGCUGAAGUGGUACUCGUAUCUCUCAUAAUUGUGCAUUAUGAUUUGGGUUACAACCUCAACUAUGACUUGCACUCCUCAAGCAGUUGAUGUACCGAGGAAAGCUAAUGUUCUUAUUGGUCCAACAAAGGCUGCUGGCACUGAAGGGAUAUGAUUAACUAUCCCAUGAUAUAAGUUGUAGCUUGUUUCUAUGUGGUGGAUCCAAACGAUUUAUCAUCUCAUCCGGCAGGGGUCUCUGAUGUUCAAGGUGUUUGUAGUUGAACCUCCUCUGUUCUCAGACCUUGUGGGGUAUUUUUAAUCUUUGGUGCUUGUUGUUCCAUGUUGGAUUUGUAGCUGAACCUCCUCUGUUCAGGUACUGUUUGUGUAUCUGAUGUGCUUAUUAAAAUUUAACUGAGUUGGUGGGUAAACUAAAAAUGGUCGUGCUUCUUUUACUGUUUUUGCAUAUUCACUACACCAAAACCAGGAUUUUGUAACUGUGAAACCUGUCACAGUUUAUUUUUCAGUCACAGAUACACCUGUGAUAAGUCCUGCAACAGUUAUAACUGUUAUUAAAUUUUGUAAUCGUGAU